UGUAACGGUUGUUGUGAAAGUCUGUA
rnacentral:piRNA from 1 species